GAGUGAGGCUCGCUAGCAAUAAAAUCUGCUAAAUACUAGACUCAUGGUUGAACUCCAUGACUCACCCG
rnacentral:tRNA from 1 species